rnacentral:tRNA from 1 species
GGGGCGUUAGCUCAGUCGGCUAGAGCGCUUGCUCGACACGCAAGAGGUCGCAGGUUCGAUUCCUGCACGCCCCACCA